rnacentral:misc_RNA from 1 species
UCCGGUUCUUCACCAGCAGUCUCCUUAGAGUUCCCGCCUUUACGCGUUGGUAACUAAGGAUAAGGGUUGCGCUCGUUACGGGACUUAACCCAACAUCUCACAACACGAGCUGACGACAGCCAUGCAGCACCUGUCUCCUGGUUCCUUUCGGCACUCCGGCAUCUCUGCCAGAUUCCAAGGAUGUCAAGGGUAGGUAAGGUUUUUCGGGUUGCAUCGAAUUAAACCACAUGCUCCACCGCUUGUGCGGGCCCCCGUCAAUUCCUUUGAGUUUUAAUCUUGCGACCGUACUCCCCAGGCGGAAGACUUAUCGCGUUAGCUUCGAUACUAACAGGUCUAAGCCUGCCAACAUCUAGUCUUCAUCGUUUACAGCGUGGACUAC